GAAGGGGCUUGCUCCUGGAUUCAGCGGCGGACGGCUGUUAAAUACGCAGGAAUCUACCUAGUAGUGGGGGAUAACCCCUCGAAAGGAACGCUAAUACCGCAUACGUUCUGAGGAAGAAAACAGGGGACCUUCGGGCCUUGCGCUAUUAGAUGAGCUUGCGUCCGAUUAGCUAGUUGGUGGGGUAAAGGCCUACCAAGGCGACGAUCGGUAACUGGUCUGAGAGGAUGAUCAGUCACACUGGAACUGAGACACGGUCCAGACUCCUACGGGAGGCAGCAGUGGGGAAUAUUGGACAAUGGGGGCAACCCUGAUCCAGCCAUGCCGCGUGUGUGAAGAAGGCCUUCGGGUUGUAAAGCACUUUAAGCGGGGAGGAAGGGCUUGAGGCUAAUAUCCUUGAGCAUUGACGUUACCCGCAGAAUAAGCACCGGCAAACUUCGUGCCAGCAGCCGCGGUAAUACGAAGGGUGCGAGCGUUAAUCGGAAUUACUGGGCGUAAAGCGCGCGUAGGUGGUUGAGUAAGCGAUCUGUGAAAGCCCCGGGCUUAACCUGGGAACUGCAGGUCGAACUGCUUAGCUAGAGUAUGGUAGAGGGGUGUGGAAUUUCCUGUGUAGCGGUGAAAUGCGUAGAUAUAGGAAGGAACAUCAGUGGCGAAGGCGACACCCUGGACCGAUACUGACACUGUGGCGCGAAAGCGUGGGUAGCGAACAGGAUUAGAUACCCUGGUAGUCCACGCCGUAAACGAUGUCUGCUAACCGUUGGGGGG
rnacentral:rRNA from 1 species